rnacentral:rRNA from 1 species
AUUGAACGCUGGCGGCAUGCCUAACACAUGCAAGUCGAACGCGAAAUCACCUUCGGGUGAGAGUAGAGUGGCGGACGGGUGAGUAACGCGUGGGAAUCUACCUAUUAGUGGGGGAUAACUCGGGGAAACUCGAGCUAAUACCGCAUACGCCCUAUGGGGGAAAGGCUUCGGCCGCUAUUGGAUGAGCCCGCGUCAGAUUAGCUUGUUGGUAGGGUAAAGGCCUACCAAGGCGACGAUCUGUAGCUGGUCUGAGAGGACGAACAGCCACACUGGGACUGAGACACGGCCCAGACUCCUACGGGAGGCAGCAGUGGGGAAUAUUGGACAAUGGGCGAAAGCCUGAUCCAGCAAUGCCGCGUNUGUGAAGAAGGCCUGC